GUGUGUUUGACUACAAUAAAAAACAAAACCAAAAACCAAAACAGCUGCGCCACCUGAGAGUGGUCACCGGGGGCCAGGUGGACAGUGAAUUUUCUUGUCAGUUUGGGUGAAGUGUUGAACUGCCCCACUUGACUUAAAUGCGCCCCCUUGCUCUGUCUCUCUGCAAUCAUUCAGUCCCUGGUAACUAACGGUUUUUUCUUUGCCCCCAACUCCAGAAUUCAAAGAAGCACAUAUUCAGUGUCCUGCUUUGUGCCUCGGUUCCUCCUGUGCCACUUCUCUGCCUGAGCAUCCUGUUUUGUCUCGGGAGCACCUUUCCUGUUUGAGCCAGCUCCCACGGAGUGCAGUGCAGACACCCACUGUGAACACCCACUCAGCUCCCCUGGGCCUUUCACCCACGACUUGCCCAGAGGUCUUGCUCUCACGGUGCAAAUAUGAUUGCAAUGUGGCUGUGCACGCAACCCACGCCUCUCUGGACCCCGUGCUCCAGAGAAUUCGAGGCAGAGCAGCGUUUCUAUUAUCACUUAGUAAUUGGAGUUUUGUGGGCCUGGGAUUACUGCUAAUGGAAAGCAAAUGGACUCAGAAUCAAGAAAUCAGCCAUUGAACACCCGGCACCACCCAGUAAAGCGAAGAGGCUAUUAUGCCACUUUAUGUGGGUAGUGAUCAUCAUUUGCAGAAAGAUUUGCAAAAACCUUACCAGCCCAUAGAAAUGAUGCCCCGCUAGGCUUUCAAGUGGCCCUGCCCUCCUGGCCCAGAGCAGCUAAGUGGCUGCCCAGGUAGGAAGCCUUACCUAGAGUGUGGAUGGCUGCCCAAGGCCCAGGUGCUCCUCCUUGGCGGCAGAGAGAUUUAGUUUUGUCUUUGCUUUCUCUCUGGUACCCAAACCUCAGACAAGCUCUCUGAACCCAGAGUAUUUCUGUAUGCUCUUCCUUAGACUUCCUCAGCCUCAUAGCCAACCACGGCCCAGAGAACAGGCGGUGACAGGACCGGGAUGGGGCUGCUGUGGGCCAGGAGCCCAGAACAGCGGCUCUUGACUCAAGGAGAGAGAAGUGGCUGUAAAGAGUGACGUUUCUCAGGGUUUGCUGACCCCUGGGCUCCAGGCUAAUCUUGCCCUUUCUCCUCAGUGGGGUAGUGUCAGCAAUCAUACAUUUACAUGAGGGGCCUUUUCUCCACAGAUCACGCCACCCCCUUCCCGGUUGCUAAAAGGCCAUUUAAUAUGCAGAAGCUGUGCUAGAACAGCGUUAGGUUGUGACAUGAGGAAAUGGAAAAAAAAAAUCUGAGCCCGAACUCUGUCCUUCAGUUGUCCUCCUCUGAGAGUACCGCCGAUGGCCAAGGACAGAACGGGUGUGUUGUGCCUCUUGGGCUCAGCAAACAGGAGGAACACGGAGGCCACUGAGGCUGUUUGCAAAAGACUGUCAAGGCUCACACGAGUUCUCAUGUUCCAGUUGGUCCGAGGGCUGGAGGGCCUUGAGUUUUCCCUCCCUGCAGCUGGCCGACUCUGGGAUGCUUCCAGACAGCCUCUCGGAGGUGAGAGAGGAAGGAACAUUAACUCUGCAACUUAGCCCCUAGGAAAAGUGCGUCCACUCACCGGUGACUACCUCGCUUAGCCAUUAAAUGUCACGGCAGCCCAUGCGCACAGGAAAGAGAAUCUACAUCUGGCAGUAAAAAAAGCACUCAACACGUACAACAUACCUCAUGCGGUAGGAUGAAGAGUGGUCCCCUAAAACGUCCACGUUCUAAUCCUCAGAAACUAUGUCUAUAUGAGCCUUUAUGGCAAGAUGGACUUUGCAGAUAUGAUGAAGUUAAGGGUCUUGAGAUGGGAAGAUUAUCCUGGAUUAUCUGGGUGGGCCUGAUAGAAUCACAAGAGUCCUUAUAAGAGGGAGGUGGGAGCUCAAAGAGGACAGAAGAUGCUCCACAGCUGGCUUUGAAGGUGGAGGAAGCCACGAGAAUAUGGGAAGCCAUGAGUUGCCACUAGAAGCUGAAAAAGGCAAAGAAACGGAUUCUCCCCUGGAGACUCCAGAAGGACCCAGUUCGGCUGACACUACUAUUUUAGUCCUAUCGGACUUGUUUUGGACUUCUGACCUUCAGAACCGAGCAGAGGGGAUGUUUGAGCCACAAGAUGCAAGGAGCCUGGGACCCUAAAUUACCACGAGGAGAAAGCUGCAUGCCGGCCAGGAAGCCCCACACUGGAUUGUUAUAGAGAAACAUCGGGAAUGACAACACAAUGAGAUCAUGAUAAGAGGAAGCAGCUAAACCUGACAGGUCACCUCCUCCUCUCGUUCUAGCAACCCAGCCUCUCAUAAGAACAAGGAAGAGCAAAGUGACAGCUUCCAGAGCAAAGGGGAGACAUCUCGCAGCUCUGAGUAGAUAAGCUUAGUGCUGGCUUCACACGGAGGGGCAAGACUCCGGACUCCAUAGGAUAACAAAGCUUUGUUUCCAAAUCAACUGUGAAUAUGAAGACCGAAGGAGAGCUGACCCAGGGCCCAUCGCAAAAGGGUUCAGAGAGACCACAGAUCUUUGCUGGCCAAAGUAUUAAAAAUAAAACAACAAAACCAAAGACCCUUCACAAGAAACUGAAAUCACAAGAAACUGAAAUGUAAAGGAGAAUGACUUGAGUUUGUCAGUAUCGCGAGAACUGAAAGGGGAUCUGCGUUGGCUCCUGGAAGUGUAUAACCAGGUUAGGAACAGUGGAGCUGAGAUUAACUCAGAUGCCCAUCAGAGGCUCCGAAUGGAAAACCAUCUUGAAAAGCAUAAAGUGCUCUCUGAUGUGAGGCAUUCUUGGGAUGUGCGGAAAUUAUUUUCAUUUGAAGGGAAAGAGAAAAACUAAGAAACAAAAGAAGCCAAAGAGCCUUUCAAAUAUUUUACCAUGAAUUCGUACUUUGAAAGGAAAAUAAUAAAAGUGGAUUCAUAAUGACUGAUUAAAAACAUAGCCUUGUUUACUAGGGGAGGUCAAAAGCUGGCAAAAUUGUGGUGCCUUAAUUUGGGGGGAAAUUGCUUGCCCCCAGUCAACAAAUGUGGGACCUCUUACCCCUUCCACUGUGAAGCAUGUGGGAGCUCUGAGCCUCCCCAUCUCUCUUGUGCAGGGCUGUGCACCCAGGUUUCUGAAGCCCAGGGUGGACCCCUACUGAAGACAGGCGUGUGGAACAAACUUUCUGCUUUGUGGUGUCAGCAAGUCUUAAGGAGCUCACCAAGGUCUGACUGAUUCUAGAAAGGAAACCUGGAAGCUUUCUGGCAGAAGAGAAGGGCAUGCAGCAUUGACAGGGAAUUUUAAGUUUGAUGAAAGAAAGAGAAGGAGAAAGACUGGCCUUGCUCCUAAUGAGCGUACGAUUUUAUUAGUUCUGUAGUCUUUUCUCUUGAGAUGGCACCUCUUGCUGUCUUUCUUGGGGAAGCAUUCCUCUGUUUUAUUAUGAAGGAAGGAAAGAGUACGAGGCUGGUGGGCUUUUCCAUCCUCUGGCAAUCUGGCAGGUCAGCAUUAUUUUAUAAAUGAGGAGACCAGGACUCGGAAAUAUUUAUUAAUUCUCCCUGGGCCUGAAUUCAAACCCAGCUCUGACCUCCAAGUUCAUUGUUUUUGCAUCGCUCCCUGC